rnacentral:rRNA from 1 species
UCUCAGUUCGGAUCGGAGUCUGCAACCCGACUCCGUGAAGCUGGAUUCGCUAGUAAUCGCGCAUCAGCCAUGGCGCGGUGAAUACGUUCCCGGGCCUUGUACACACCGCCCGUCAAGCCAUGGAAGCCGGGGCGCUUGAAGUGCGUUGCCGCAAGGCGCGCCCUAGAGCGAAACCGGUGACUGGGGCUAAGUCGUAACAAGGUAAC